CAACCAUUUGAAUAUCAUCACUAAACAUCUUCUUCCCAACAGCUAGUCCAACCAUAGUAAUGCACUCUAUAGACUUACGAAGAAGCACGCUGUUGGAUUCAGCAGCUGCUUUCAUCAUUAUAACUUUCAAAUGAGGCAUAACAGUUUUGUAAUACACUUGAAAAUGAUCCUCUGAUGAUGAAACAAGUGAUCCUACUGCUGUCAAAGCCUCCUCUUUCAGCAGUUGCUUCCCUCUCUGCAGGCACCUAAGCAGUUUGUUGACAAUUUCAUCCAUGUAAGGUGUCAAGAGACCUGAAGUGCAAUCAUUACUAAAGUAAAACAGCGCACUAGCAGCUUGUACCUGAACGUAGGGAUGAGAGGAAAAAUUCAAAGCUUUUGUCAAAGCAGGCAGCACCUUUUUAUAAUACUGAAACUGAAAGUCAGGGUUCAAAUUCUUGGAGAACUCCUGAAUUGCAUUUAUAGCUGCCCAACGCACUCGAAAGUG
rnacentral:misc_RNA from 1 species